AUGGUAGUGUAGUCUCCUCUAUUUUAUUCACUGGAUCUGGCAACAUGCAGCAUCUGGUUAUUCCCCCAAAUCAAAAUAACCAUGAAAGGUAAACAUUUUCGAUCAGCUUGGGACAUCUGGUAGCCACAACACUGCAAAUAAGGACACAAAAGAGGACUUCCAGAACUCCCUCCAGAAGCGGAAGAAUUAGUAUAAGUGUGUUCAAAGGUUCAACCACAGGGAUGCGGAAGUACCCAGCUGAGAUACCUUCCUCCUGGGAUCGAUGUGGCUAGCACGCCCGCCUGGCACAACAGCGACCCAGAUGCUUUGGACCAAUCCUCAAUAUGGUCUGUGUUAGUUACUUUCCUCUCAUUGCUGAGACAAAAUACCCAACAGUUAAAGGGGACACCUUUAUUUGGCUUACCGUUCGUAGAGGUUUCAGUCCGUAAUAGGCUGGCUCCAAGGCAGAGUGGCAGAGGGGCAACAGUUCAUGGUGGUGGAAGACAGCAGAAACAACAAGUGACCUUAACAGCAUCUUCCGGCCCCUUUUAUCUUAUUCAGGCUACUUAGGGUGAGAAGCACUCACACCCUUAAUCCUAGUGCCCUUGGGCCUACCCCACCAGGAAUCAAUCACACACUCUAGAUUCAGCCACCUCUGCAAAAGCAUGCGGCUUUGGGGGGGACAUCUAAACACA
ensembl:lncRNA